rnacentral:sRNA from 1 species
AGAAGAAAAACAAAAUU